rfam:Medicago truncatula strain A17 chromosome 3, whole genome shotgun sequence.
AUAGGGUCUAGACCUGGCAUAUCUUCAUACGACCAUGCAAAAAUAUCCGGAUAUUCCCGGAGGAGCUGGAUGACCUUCUGUUUAACCCCUUCCUCUAGAGUAGCACCAAUCUUGAUUUCUUGCUUGUUUUCCUCGGUACCUAUGUUGAUAAGCUCAAUCUCUUCCUGG